GGAUGUGUGGUCAUUUUGUGUCAUUUGUCUCCUUGGCGGACCAGGAUUAAUUUGGACCAUCUGACGAACCAGACAAGGAACUCUUUCCUCCCUCACCGGUUCCCAUAUAUUCCUUCCAAAACUGCAUGCUUAGUCAAGAAGAUGACUCUAGGUAGCGGGAGUAUAUUCUGAGGCCAAGAACGUUCUGAAGAGUAGAAAGAAACAAAACAAAUUGUU
rnacentral:sRNA from 1 species